CAAGUAAACCGGGCAGCCGCCUGUUCGGCGCCAGGCGUUGAAUGGGAGGAAAGUCCGGGCUCCACAGGGCAAGGAUAGCGGGUAACGCCCGCCCACGGCGACGUGCGGACGAGUGCAACAGAAACAGACCGCCGGACGGUCAAUCCGUCCGGUAAGGGUGGAAAGGCGAGGUAAGAGCUCACCGCGCUUCCGUGAAAGCGGGAGCGCCUGUAAACUCUAUUCGGAGCAACACCGACUCGGGGCAACGCCAGGCGGCCGCCUGGCGGCAAGCCGGCCCGGCGGUCCCCGGACGGGUGGCGUUGAGCCGUCUGGCAACAGGCGGCCCAGAUAGAUGGCUGCUCAGCGGCGGCGGCGGGAGACCGCCUCCCCGCGGACAGAACCCGGCUUACAGGUUUGCUUGCAAA
rnacentral:RNase_P_RNA from 1 species